AUGAACUUUUGUAGGCGGUGUAAGUGAAGAGAUUUAAAACGGCGUGUAACUUGUGUACUAUACCAGCUGGUGUGAUCCUGUAUACGGGAACCACUGGCUGCUCUAAAAAUGUUAGAAACAAGAGAACAAAUCCACCGAGAAUGAGAUCUGUAACAAAUGUCAAGAUGUUGGUGCUAUUGCUCGCCUGGCAUGUGGUGCUCGCGACAGGCGAGCGGCUCGUGAUCAUAGAGUCCGGCGAGGCUCGCAGGGGCCGAGGAGACCCCGACUUUCCUGGCUACGAGAACCACCUCGGCCACCUCGGCGACCGCGUCUCUGGCAUGUCACCGCAAGACACCUACCAGGGGCCCUCGUACGCCGACCCGUCGCUGCUCUCGGCCGUUAUGCUGCAGGCUGAGAACGCAAACUUCGAGUACAACUACAAGAAGCCGAGCACCACGACCGUGGUGACGAGUGAACGAGUCAACCCUCACGGUAGCGUCCCUAAACCUUGGGAUGUCAGAGACACGAGCUCUGGGCACAUAGACUGGGGGCUUGCAGCUAGGAAAGAACCUGAGAAACCAAAGCCUCUUAUCAUCGGUGGCUAUGCCAGCACGAUACUUCAAGGCAACAGCAAAGAAAGGCUUUACGCGACAGCAAUCGGCACACAAGCUCCCAAGCCCGCGUUUGUUGCCACCCGCAAGCCUCUUACUGAGCCGCCAUUACUGAUGACAAAGCCGACGGUGACCUCUACCCCUGAUGUCAACUCUACGACCGCUUCUUCAUCGCCUGCUACCAGGCUUGUGCAGGAGGUGAAAAUGACUCGAGCAACACCUUUCCAGAGACGUCGUCUCGACACCAAAAGACCUCAACUUUUGUAUCGUGACAGUCCAAAACCAUCAAAACCGACUCUUGCUGUCAAACUUGGACUUUCUUUGCCGUCACAGAUUCAAACGUUCACUAGUAGCUCCACCACUACUGCAAGAACCGCUACAAAAACGCCAGAAACGACUCAAGCUGUCGUGGUGACCACUUCUUCUCCGAGAACAACGUUAGGAACAACCACCACUACAAUCACUCCUCCAACUACUACCACUAUUGCAAAAGUAGGCGAUCGACCAUCAGAUGUAUUCCCAAAAAGUGCUCGGUAUCAGGUAGUAACAACAACAACAGUUCGACCAAAUCGGUUCCGUCAGGUAUUCGGCAGCAAAACCAGACAUGAACUCCCGCCUAAUAUUUUACCGGUGCCGCCCAACCGUUUUCGAAAACGACCUGUGCGCACUCGGCGACCAUCCGCUGGGAUAAUUCGUGUAGUAACUACAACAACAACCACGACUGCUCGUCCCAUCCGCACAACUACCACUACCACUACAAAAAAAUUAAUACGUUCAACAACUCAAAAGCCGUUCCCGACUUCCACUCCCAAAGCUGAAACGAAGAAAGCUUUAUCUGAUAUAUUGUCGCACCACACAGACGGCGUGCCAGACCAAGCUAAACGCCCUGCAACCAUACAUAAGGCUCCGGCUCGAGUACCUGCUGCUAAAAGCACCACAACUACCACUUCUACCACCGAGGCACCGUCAUUCCGCUACACCAAGGCUGCCUCUUUCACUCGAAGCAAACCUACGCACAAAAUCAACUCUCACCACUUCGUCACAACUGAAAAAAUAGUUGCACCAGCAGUAUCGUAUGAGAACAAUGUCUUCAGCACUGUUAAUAAUAUCCCAUCACAAGGCUACGCUAAGGUAAGCACCAAUUAUCAAGCCUCGCAAACAUUUCCUUUUAUUCCCUCUAACACAGUUACUCAUUUUGACCCUUCCCCGCCACCAAGCGAUUCAUUCCGACCCAUCCCGAUGAGUUACUCGCACCCGCUGCUCAGCAACAACCCAGUUCCUUCCCAUGACAAGCCCACUUUACAUUACCAGGACCCAACUCAUUAUCUGUCUGGCAGCCAAAAAUACCACGAACACAACUUUAAGACCGCGACAGCUUCACCUCCCUCCCUGGAACACUCAUUUAGGCCCAUGCAUUCUUACGAAAACGAGGAAAUUAACGUUAUCCGACCUGAAGAUUUCCGGGAUCCUCCGCCAUUACUGACGUCGAGUGAAGAAAGAGAUGAGCGGCGGCCGAGCUCCAGGCCUCACAAGUACAGAGAUGACGAUAUUCCGCGACGAGAAGAUUAUCGGCGUAGAGAAGACGAUCAUCCACGUCGAGAAGACGACUAUCUUCGGAGAGAUGAUGACUAUUCACGGAAAGAUGACGACUACCGUCGUAGAGAAGACGACUAUCCGCGUAGACGUGACGAUGACCGUAGGCGGCCUCCGCCCCCUCCACCACCUCCUCCUCAUUUCUUUUUCUCGCGUCAGAAGCAACUCGCUGACGCGUUCCGGCGAUACCACGGCAACAGAAGGAGCAGUAGCUCGUCAAUCAUGGAUAUGUUCUCCGGACCUUCUGGGCCGCGCCAUUCUAGACGUCCUCCACCACCACCCCCUCCUCCUCCUCCUCCCCCUCCACCACCGCCACCUCCACCCCCUCCUCCUGCAGUGAUGAAGCACUAUCCGGUGUACCGUCCGUCACCACCACGCCCAGAGACAACCACCACCACCACCACAACCACAACUACGACAACACCUGCCCCAACUCCCCCGCACUACCAUUACAGUCCCAGUGAUUACAAUAAGCAUCAACUGCCACCAAACCCUUCCUACCGACUGGAAUCCAGGGAAAAAAAUUCAUUUGCCGACUUCAAGUUCGUGAAAGGUAAAAUUAUCCACAACAAACCCCUGCAGAUUUCAAAUACUGCUACAGUCUACAAGCUCGCUCCGUUGUCUUCUGUGCACAAAGAUGCGUUACUCCAAAACGCUGUCGAGAAAUCGCACGGCGGACCAAAGGUUCUAAGACCAGGCCAAUUCAAAAUAGUUUCAAAGGAUGCUCUGAAGUACGACCAGGACAAAAUCAAAAUGUAUCGUCCACCCAAGCCGCAAUAUCACGAGCCCGACUCUUCAUUUUCUCUCACUAACUUUUUCUCUAAUUUCCACGACUUCAUGGGAGGAAACCUGAACAUUCGACGCAGAGGAAAAAUGCCAGAAGACGCUAGUGAUACGAUCCUAUCGGUGCAAGGUGCCAAUAGCAUUAAGGUGGACCCGAAACCGUCCGUACAUCAAGUACAACUGCCACACAGCUCUGAAAAGUUUAAUGUUGUGGGUCCAUUCCACGAACCUCCUUCCGGUCUGUCUCCCCUAACACCUGAUGAUGUUCAGUAUCCUGCGAGCGCAUUCCACCAAAGGACGUUCGUGCCCAGCUACAUGAAUCCUUCUGUUCCUUACUCUGGUGCAAGUGCACCCCAAACCGUUACGGAUUUGUACGAUAGUAAUCAUGAGACUGAUGUUUCAGCCGCUGAUUCUCUGUUGUCAAGUGGAUACGAGCUCUUAGCCUAUCCAGGCUCCUAUGGCGGUGACAUGAGCGAGCAAGCCGCAUUCAAUGAAGUCACGUCCAGUUACGCCAUGAAUUAUUUGCAUGGAGCUGACGGCAGUGACAGUUCUGCGACAGUCGAUGACGAGUCAGUCAGUGACGCUGUGUCCAACAAUGAUCCUCUUGUAACUUUUGAUACAAUAUUUUCGUCCGCGUCCAUAGCAAUGUCAAAGAAAGACCCGUAUGAGAAUCAUGUACUGGAAAAUAACGAAGCUUCUCAGAACGUAACUGAAGCCUCUCCCGUGACACCCACAACGACGCCUCUUCCAAGUGUGACGCCUAUGAAGGUUACAGAGUUCAACCCAUACGCUGGCCACCGACCUCAACCCAUGUUAGGCCACGCAGCCGAGCACACUCACGAGAAGAAAGCGGUCAGCCCACAAGCAUCUUAUGGCGGUUGGAGUGCCAUGGUCAUCCCUGUACCGGUACCUCUGCGAGAAAACCUCAGAACUGCGGAUGGAAACAUUUUGACGCAUUCAGAGCUGAGUAACAGUCCGCGAUCUUUUGUGAAUAAUCAGUAAAUUAUCACUAUAGAAUCCUUCAUCCCUUGCACGCAACGAUAAAACGGAAAUUGGAGUGGGCCGAUGAGCUGAUCCGUAGAGAUGCCCAGCUUGAAACCUGAUGUGCGAAGAUAAGAUGUGGGAUUUUCGUCAAGAUUAAACAUCGAAACACCCGCGGACGUUUCAAGUUAUCAUUUGUGAUCAUCUUGGUUUAAUGAUUUGACUUUCACUCGGGAAGCGCUAGGUACUUCUUACUUCUUUGUUUGAAUCCCAAAACUCUACCUAAAUUCAUAUUUUUAAUUGCAAUGGAGCGAUAUUUUUUCAACUGUAUAAGUGCGCGGACCAAAAUUUUGAAAAACUUUGGAAUUUUAUCUACGAAGAAUGCUCUUUACGUCACAUUUGUUUUGUGGUCCCUGACUGACAUACCAGAGUGCCGAGACGAAUUUGAACGUUUCGAGAAAUAGAUCAGAGAAUGCAGAAUUGGGAAUAGUUCUUAGAAUUUCAUGAGGUCUGAGGUCUUUGUUAGUAGCGAGGUCUGUUGCAGUAUUUGUCAUAGUCCAUUGAAUGUCAUGGGGUCUGAGGUCUUGGCGUUGGUGAAUGUAUUGUAAUCACCUAAACCCUGUUUAUAAUUCGCAACAAUUGCAGCUUUUUCAUGCAUUUAAAUUUCCAAGAUUAUUAUCGACAGAAUCACUGUAGUAGAUGUAUAAUGUAACGGACAUCCUAAGUCUAGUGUAUAAUAAUUGUAGGAAUAUAUUUUGAUGGCAUCUAGGUUAAUAACAUACGUAGCUUAGGGAUUAAUGUCACCUUAUACCCGCCUGUCUUACCAGCGCUGCUUCAUGAAUGUUGGUCGAAGACGCGAGCUUCUCGCGUCACAGUCGCGAUGAGGUGAAGAGAGUUAGCAGACCAAACUAUAGCACACCAGCGCCUGGUCUCAGAUAGGUCUAAUUGAAUGCAUUAAUGUCAAAUAGAUUACGAACCUGUGAACCGUUCACACAAGUCUCUUAAUCCCUCCUUUGACUUUCAUGGACCAUUUCAUACAUUCUUACACGUAUCAUAAUACUCUCAUUCGACUUACGCGUAUUCAUUACAGUAGAUUGUUUUUCUGAGGAAGAGGCACCAGCCGUGCACAAAAACCUCGUCUGUAGCUCGCGUCGCUCCAAUCAUUUACUUCAACGAUCGAAUGGUGUCCUUAAUCUCAUCGACGCGCAGCAAUUAUUUAUAACGUAGCGGAAAGGCAUUCCUUUAGUGAAUAAGUAAUUAUAUAUUGAGUAAGCGA
rnacentral:misc_RNA from 1 species